CCAAUAGCGUAUAUUAAAGUUGUUGCAGUUAAAAAGCUCGUAGUUGAAUUUCGAGAUCAAAUUGUUGGUCGUGCCUCGGUACGUACUGGCAUUAUUGAUUUCUCCCUUCUGAAGAACCUUGAUGUCAUUAAUUUGGUGUCUUGGGGAAUCAGGACCGUUACUUUGAAAAAAUUAGAGUGUUUAAAGCAGGCUUACGCUUGAAUACAUUAGCAUGGAAUAAUGAAAUAGGACGUUUGAUUCUAUUUUGUUGGUUUCUAGGAUCGACGUAAUGAUUAAUAGGGAUAGUUGGGGGCAUUAGUAUUCAAUUGUCAGAGGUGAAAUUCUUGGAUUUAUUGAAGACUAACUACUGCGAAAGCAUUUGCCAAGGAUGUUUUCAUUAAUCAAGAACGAAAGUUAGGGGAUCGAAGACGAUCAGAUACCGUCGUAGUCUUAACCAUAAACUAUGCCGACUAGGGAUCGGAUGAUGUUAAUUUUUUAAUGACUCAUUCGGCGCCUUACG
rnacentral:rRNA from 1 species